rnacentral:lncRNA from 1 species
AAGCUCCCAGGUGAUACUGCCUGGCUGGGGACCUCACUAUGAGAACUUCUGCUGUAGGCGCUCAUUUGUCCAUGGCGUAGCCAGGUGGACGUGCUUCAAAGAGCUGUGAGAAUCCAGGAAGACAUCUCACCUCAGAAGGGUGCAGCUGGGUUCUAUCCAUGUCAUCGACUUCUAGACUUACGACUAAGACCCGUGCUUUCUGUCACAACCACGAAGAGAAGGAUCCCCUAGAGGAAGAUUAGCCCUGAGCUAACUACUGCCAGUCCUCCUCUAUUUUCGCAGAGGAAGACUGGCCCUGAGCUAACAUCCAUGCCCAUCAUCCUCUACUUUAUAUGUGGGAUGUCUACCACAGCAUGGCGUGCCAAGCGGUGCCAUGUCCGCACCCAGGAUCCGAACCAGCGAACACUGGGCCGCCGAGAAGCGGGAAGUGCAAACUUAACCGCUGCACCACUGGGCUGUUCCCCCCAAGAAUUCUUUUUUCAAAGGAUACAAUGAGAAGUUAGGAGUCUGCACCCUAGAAGAGGGCUCUUACCAGAACCGGACCAUGCUGGCACCCUGAUCUUGGACCUCCAGCCUCCAGACCUGUGUGAAAGCCCCCGCUCACCAGCCUGCCUUCGCUUGACAAAUGAUGAAGAUAAUGAAAGUGAAGGUGCAGAGCGGAACGGCCAAGACAGUCUGGGCACGUCUCUCAUCACCACCUGUUUGUGCAGACAGAGAGCCCCCCGAGGAGUUUCAGGUGACCUCAGCCUUGCGAGGCGCAGAGAAGUCUGCAUUCCUAGGUCCUUCUGUUUGAGACUCUACUGAGAGGCUUCAGGCUGCACUGUGCACAACCUCUUACGGUCAGGCCCUGCAAGCUUAUGCUGCUUCACCUUCCCUUUGCAUACCGUGGAGGAAAAAUCAUAAUGCUCACUGUGGGCCAAAGCCUUUGUUAUGCUCAGGGCUUCGGAAGAUUGGAUUACUACAACACUACGGAAGAGAAAACUGAGGUUCACAGAGGCUAGCAACUCUCCAAGGCCCCACAGCAGAUAUCUCAUCUAGUCGGAACUUGCUCCUAGGCCUGUCUGGCUCUCAGCUGCCACACCACGCUGCCUCCCUUGAGGAAAGGAUGGUUGAUGUGGGAUAUGUUGGAACAAUGCAGCCUCCUGAAAUCAGCUUUGCCUUUAAAGACAGAAGUGACAGGGGCCAAAGAGUGCACAGGACUGGCUGGACAGGGUUAGGAGUCACAUGUGUCAGGUCCUAGUUGGACUGGACCACUCCCUGACCACAAGAGCUCUAGACAACCACUGGAACUUUCUGAGCUCACGUCCUCAUCUGGAAAUGGAGCAAACACCCUCUGCCCUUUCCACUUUACAGGAUGAUUCUGAAGGAGGUUUGUGGACUGAAAAGUACUUUAUGACUGUAAGGGCUUCCUGGAUGAGACAUUUUCAAAAAAGAGCUGUGAUUACAGGAGUAACGUAGGCAUAUUUUGUUUUCUUAUGAUAGGUCCCUGAUGUGUUUUUAGAUAUGUUAAACUUUCACAGAGUCUCAUCUUCAAAAACACAGUCCUGUAAGAUCCUAGGCUUUUUUAUGUCUGAGUUAUAACGAAUAAAUGAACACCAAUCCUUGUAGCGGGCAGAAGCAACUUCCUUGAAAGUCUUCUCGUGGUGGGUGUUCUGGCUCAAACGCUUCCCAGUCUGGUUAGAUAAAAAAAAUUUAGUAUGACCUUCUUUUGUAUUGUUUAUUGGCCAAUACGUUUCAUGCCUCAUUUGCCCUCAAAUUCACAUUUUUAUUCACCAGAGUAUUUGCUCUGCCUUUGUGUGUGCGUGUGUGUGUGUAUGCCUGUGCGUGUGUGUGCUCAUGUGCUCACUACACAGUCACAGAAAACCUUUGCACCUUAAACACUAGCCAGAUGAUAGGAUAUUUAUUUUUUAUUUUGCCAAACUAUGUGAUUUCUAUGCAUUGUUUUAAAACCAAAAGAGGAAAAGAAAAACGUUUAAGAAUUUUGCUUCAAAUGAGCAGCCUCUGACAUGCCUAAGAUGGCGAGGGUCAGUUUCUACUCCAUGCAAACCUUUUAAUUACAUGCAGCCUGAAUCGGGGCGGCCAUCUCUGACCUGGAGCCUCAGACCCAGUGUCCUGCCCUCUGAUGGCUGCCAUCCACCAGUGCCCAUCCUUGACGUGAGUCCCUAAUUCUGUCGUGCCCUCCCAGCAGGCGAGGGGGCUGGAGCCGGGCUGGUUUCCUUGCAAUUAAUGAACAGCAAGAGCGCAUAAUUAGGAAACUCCUAAGGAGGACUCCCCUUAUAGCGAGUGGCGAGUUCAGCUUCUCUCCCUCCUCUUGCCAGUUCCCAUCCCUACAGUCACAUCUCAUCGAGUUUGGGAAUUUUAUCAUUUUUAUUGGGACUCUUUUUCCUAGAGUUUAUUUUUACACUGCCAGAAGCUUUUUCAAAUUUUAACCUCGGGAGUGGAUCAUUAAGUUAAUCACACUUCUCUUGUUUUGUCUGUUCCUUCAUCCCCCUCUCUGAUUCCCUUGCAUGCCUUCACAGGUAACCAUUUCCACGUGUUUCUCCCGUGUGUGCGUGAGAGAGAGAUACUGUGAUCUUGUAAGUGGCCAGGAGCUUUCAUCACUGAUUCCUCCUCUGCACCGACUCGCUCAGGAGCCCUCAGUUCACCUUGGAUGUGUUUUUGUUCUGUGGCAAGAGAAUCACAUGUGUAUACACACGCGUCUGCCAUUUUCACCAGGAAAUGUGACCGGAGUUCUUAAAAAUUCUGUCUCAAUGAGUUUUUACUCAUCUCUCCUGAGAACUCACCCACCUGAUAGAAUUUUAAGCUUUAAAAGGUACUUCCUGUGAUUAUUCACUCAUUGAGGCAGAGGAGACUGAUGCCAAGAUGUGAUGGAACUGGGAGGUGGAGGGAACUGAGUGACGGUAGAUGAGGCUGGGAGAUGAGCCACCUGGGUCUGACACUAAGUCAGUUACUAGGCCCUUGAGCAAAUUUAUAAACCAAUCAAAGCCUCAGUUUUUUAGUCUGUGAAAUGGACUUAGUAUCUGCAUGUUAAUGUGGAGUUACAGUUAACGAAAUAAUGUAUUGACAAGCGCCAAGGUCAAUGCCUGGCGUGCACAAAAAGUCCAGUAGGUGUUGGUUGAAUCAGAGCAUCUUUCUUUGGAGUAAUUUGAAGUUCCCUGCUGAACUCAGGAGGAAGGCAGAGGUGCCAGGAGCAGCCAUGGGCCUGUUCAGAGCUAGCUAACAGAGAAUUUCUGAGGAAGCUGUUGCAAAUGGCUUGGGGGCUGUUCCUAAAAUAGAUUUGAGAGAUGAAAAAAUGAGAGAAUGCAUAGACAAUCUGAGACAAAUGAUCAGCUCUGAUACCGACACUGAGAUUGUAAGAUGACUGCUGUGCCUUGCCAGAAAUGAAUAUUCAGGACGCCCCUGCUGGGUGCCUUUUCCUAUUUGAACCAACUACUCUUUGGGCCAUGAUUCACUUGUUAGCAAAUUAAACACUCUUUGCACACAGCAGAGCAACUUUACGAAGUCGGAUUUUGAAGUGCAAACAUCUUUUCUGCUCUGGCCACGGAACCUGUCACAAUCUUCAUCGGGAACUGAAUUAAGUUUAAAAUAUCAUCAGAGGGUGUUGAUCUCUCUUGGGCCUGGAGCUGUCCUCUGUACAUCCGGCAUUUUUCUGUUGACACUGCAUAUCACUUAGCAACAGGCCUGAAAGGCCCUAUAUGCAUUGAUUGCACACUAUUGUCUUUAAAGGGUGGAAGUGUUAACUGAAUAAACCCCCCGGGUGACCGCACGGUCAUUCCUCUCAAGUUGAUAAUGUGUUUACAUCAAAAUAUUGUUUAUUCCAUUCUCUGAUCUCCUGAUUUUUGCAUCUCUGGCUGAAGGAAUACAGUUAAUUCCCUACAUGGUGGAGAACCCAAAUCUACUCUCCUGACACGGACCGAUGAGAAUGGUUUUCUUCCUACUUCUCCUGAUAAAGCAUUAAAUGCAUUUGACAGCUAACUGCAGACGAUAACGCCAACUUUCUCUUGUGGUUCUCAGAGGAUGGAGAAGUUACAAGCCUGCAAUUGCCCCAUAAAGAGAAAAUAUUCCCUUUGGUCUGUGAAUGGUUCUGAAAUAAACGGCAGGAUAUGUUACAUGGCCGCGAAGAUGUUAAGGCUUUAAAAUGGAUGGCGGGCUCUGACAUCAUCUGAAUGAGAAGGAAAUAUGGCCUAACCAAGGGGUGUUUUCAGAAUGAAUAAAAUUUCAAAGUGGAAAUUCUUGCUUGAGAGGCAAGAGGAGAACACAUUUUUGCAUCAAUAGCCAUGGCUGAAGCAAUAGACUAGACCAGUGGGUCAAACAGGCAUUUUAGCUCAGACCUCUCCCUUUUACAAUGAUGUAUUUCAGAGACCUUCCACCGAGACAGCGUUCUCACAAACGUCUCAGACAAUGAGGGCAUGUCAGCUGAGGGAUUGUACAUGUAGGCAAAGACCAGAUUUGUGGGUUUGGCGCCCACCUGCGUCAAAUCAUGUAGUGGAGACAAAGUGUGGCUACCUGCUCUCCAGCUUCUAGUUUUGAGAAAUCUGUUUUGCUCCUUUGUGAGUUUCCACCAUACUACAUCAAGCUGAAAACGGAGAAAGAUAGAUCAAUAUGUCUUGAGAAAUAUGCCAACAAGGCAAGCGACUUCAAAAUCGACCUACUGAUUAUAUUGCCUUGGCAUGACUUUCUAUCUGGUAUAAUAGUGCCAAAACGUUCUUUGGUAAAUGUUAAAGUUUUUUCUUUCCACAGUCCUCCUCAUCAAAUAGGAAACCUACUUAAAAUUAAGAAUCAAAUUCUAUUAAUGUUUCCCCUUUGAUAAAAGCCUCAGGCCUUGACUCCAUGCCUUGAUAGAAAGAAAAAUGCAAUCCCGGACUUUUGGACAUAGAUCCAUAUGAGUAGGGAGAUGAGAAUGAAAGGGGAAAAGAUGGAAACCGCCAUGGAUAUUCUCGUUAGCCAGGAGGAGGUGCGGGAAUACCUUCAUUAUUAGAAGUAAAAAUAUUUUAAACUAAUGUACAAGUUUUUAAGUGACACCCAUCUCCUUCUGCACCCCUGUGUCCCGGAAAUGUCUCGUAUCCUCUCUGCAGGUCUAGUCACCUUGGCCUGGUUCAGCUACUGAGCAAUCUUACUUCUAUAAACAUUUCACUGCUACCAGUUGGAUUUUUCACAGCAUUAACUUUAACUACAUGGGUGUUUGUAAUGGAAUAAAAUUUUA